UCAGAAUCAAAAGAAUGCAGUGUAUUGUAUGCAGAAGUUGAUAAGGAACAACAUAAAGGCAAACAGCGCAAGCCAGUUAAAGAAGAUUCAGACGAACCUGCCAAUGCAGAAUAUGCUUCUGUUGUUAAAUCCAAAUCUAAAAAGGUACACUACAAAGAAGAUGCAAUUGAAACAGAACAUAAUGAAUAUGCAGUUGUUGACAAAUCAAAUAAAGAUUGCACAGAGAAUGAAAGUGUUUAUGCAAACCAAGAUGACGAACAGUUGAUUCCUCAUAAACCUUUAGAAGCACAAUCAUCUGGACGGAGUACAAAUCAGGAUGGCUUGACAUAUAUAGAAGUUUCCUUCACAAGUAACCAAUCAGAUCGACGUCCAAUAAUUGGAGCUGAAUCUAAAACUGACUAUGUUGACAUAGAUUUCACAAGGAAAGCGGACCCAUUACCAGAUGAUUCUGAUUAGUGACCUUUUUAACACUUUUACAUUAAUUUUGUAUUUAAGUGAAUUGUUUUACAAUAGAGAAUCAUUGUAUAUAGUGUUUGAAGUACAUCACUUGGCACUCGCAAAUAUGUGAGAGGGUGUUGUCGGGAUGUAGUGAAAAAAAGUAGUAUAAGUAAAGUAUUUAUAUAAGACCAAAAAUAGAAUACAGAACAAUGAGGUGAAAAAACACUAAAAAUGCGCUUGGCAAUUGAAGAAAAAAGAACAUUGAGGGAAAAGAAAAAGAAAAAUACUCCGUGUUGAAAAAAGUGUAUUUUCACCUAUAAUGAUUUUUCUUUUACAAAUUUUGACUUGGAUAGAGAGUUGUUUUAUUCGCCCUAAUACCUUAUCUAUUUAUAUCCAAUUAGAAAACUAAGAAAAACAGAAAAAAAAAGAAAAAAAAAGAAAACCCUUUCCAAAACCUCAACAUCUUUUUCUCUCUGAAUAGUUAGAUAAUUCCGACCCGACCUAUCAAUUCAUUCCUGAUGAAUAAAUGUAGUAUUGUAUUGUUUUUCUCUCAACUCAAAACGUUUUCUGUUCAAUGUGUAUCUCUUUAGUGUAUAUUGCUCUACUUUUCAUUUGAGAGUUCUGUUGCGAAAUGAAAAAUGAAACGUCCAAAUUCACUUUAUGGAGGAACGAAUAACAUGAAUAAAUGUACUGUAUA